UUUUAUUAAACGCGAGAAACUACACGGCAUCUGGAGUCAAGUCAAGAACAUGACACUUUGUUGUUCCUUGUAGUAAAAAUGGUUUAGUAAACUAACCAAGAUGUGUGGUUCCAGUGUCUUGGGUUUGCUUUCAAGAUCAUCUGCAAUUUUAGCUGCUUCAAGCCACCAUGAGUCUCUGCUGGAAGCACUAUCUGGUUCGCGUUCGUUAUCAAUGUAAGUAACUAUCUGGAACUGGACGUAUAGGAGAUCUAUAAUCUGCAAGAGAAAAAGACAAAAGGCAAGUGGUAUUGGACAAGAUUCUGCUUUCAGAAUGUUUUUUUUCAAGAAAAUCUUCUGAGAAUAGUACACACCUCGACAAUCUGGAUCAUAGCACUUCUGAUAAUAGAUCCCCCUUCUGAUGUCAACAAUGUACAUCACUACAAUAACAACGUUUGUUAGCUGAGAAUAGCAGAAAACAAAUGAAACCCAGAGCAGAAAUGGAUGAAAUGCAGAUGGUACCAUGAUUGCUUUUAUGUUCCCUGCCAAUGCGUUCGCAGUAUCUAUUUCUCAACAUGCUGUACACAAUCAGGCUAUCUUCUGAAAACCAGUACCAGCACCUUAUCUUACCUAAAUAUCACAGAAUAACUCUUUAGAAUAUAAGCAUUACAAUCUCUCCAGAACAAAGACGUUGCACAAAGAUAAAUUGAAACCUGAGACAUCCCCGGUGGAAGCAGUGGAUUCUACGAAUUGGUCUACGAGCGGGAACGGGGACUUGCCCCCGAAGUACGAUGUUGACAUGUCACUUGUGCAAGCAUCCACUUGGAAUUUAUGAGCUCUCUGGUCUCUUACAAUACUGUUAUUGUUCACCUGCCAUCUCCAAAGAGUUCAGGUAAAAGGCACAUUUGUGGAAUCCUCCCUCAAGUUAGAAGGAAGAUUCAACAGGAAGCCAAAAGGCACACGUCUGUGAUUGUACGAAGCAAAAUUGAUGGAAAUUACCUCAGUGUCAAAGCAAAGUGUCUUCAUACAGUCUGACUCCAUUUUGCAAACCAGAAGCUUCUCACAAUCUGACGUCACGUUGCAGAUUAAGGAUGACAUGAAUACAUCUUGUUCGGUCUGUUUGUUUACCAAUGGUUUUGUUAGAUAUUGUAAUUAUUAUGAACUGUUCUUAAGUAAUACAACAAGUCAGAGCUGAAACAUCAA